rnacentral:rRNA from 1 species
CUACAAGCGGCGGUCAUAUGUGGGAACAGGGGUCUCCGGCGGAGAGAAAAGGAGCAGCGGCGGUGAUCCAGCAUGGAGUUUCUGAUGCAGCCAUUCAGCAGUGUCCUUGAAGAAGUAGGAGAGAGCUUGGUGCCGGCCCCUGUGCUGAGGGCGCCGACGGGAGGCGGUAUGCUGGUGGAGCAGGAUAUGGCGGUCAGAACCACUGUCCUUGAGGAACUAGGAGAUUGGUUGAUGCCGGACGCUGUGCUGCCUUGUUCGAGGGGAGAUGGUACGGUGGAAGAGCAGCAAGUGGCAGAGCAGCCAUGAGCGGUGGACAGCGCGGGUGCUCAGGUUUUUGCUGCCACUGAUGCCCUGGUGGGGAGGAGGGAUAGUUCGCCUCCGACGUCAGAGCUGUCAACUGCGAAGAUGAAUCUCCUGGUUGGAACUAGAGGCUGAGAAUUGGGGCUGCCGCACCGAGCAGAACACCCUGCCCAAAUUAUGUCAGCGCGUUUGAGAAGGCUAGGAGUUAUGCCGACAAACCGGCUGAGAAUUUGAUCACACCAGUGAUUGGCACUACUUUUGACUCUUUGGGUGAGGCUUAUGACUUCUAUAAUUUGUAUUCAUGGGAGAAAGGCUUCGUCAUCCGAUAUGGGAAGGGCCGGCUGAAUCUCGAGAGGACACCCGGGUCUAUCUCGCGCACUACUGAAGGUACUGCGAUGGCUGUACCUUGAGAGGCACAUUGGUGAGUACGAGCGGGCUUAUCUUAAGAAGCAGAUUGCAUACGAGGUGAUCUCAGUGAAGGGGAACAAGGGUGAGCACCCAAGCUUCAUGAUCGAGGAAGUGCUGUUCCGAUGAAGACCGGAGUGGCUGUCUCAUUGUCUGCUUAGUUAUAUUAUGCAUUUACCAUGAGUUUGCAAAAAACUAGUUAUAUUAUGCAUUUACCAUCAGUGGUUGUCUCAUUAUCUGUUUGCAAAUAGUUAUCUAAAAUGGAUCCUGAAGGUCGAAUACAAAUUAUAUUAUGC